AUAUAUAUAUAUAUAUAUAUAUACGAACAAACAGCUGGUAGUCCUACUAAAUGCGUUUUUAAAGAAUAUAACUGAACAGCAUAUUGUGGUGAUUGGAUGAGAUCGAAUCGGGCAUGAGAGAAGAGGAGUCUGCCCUGAGGAGGAUUUAACGAGCUGGAAACUCUACGCUGGUAAGUUUAUUUCUGUGGCCAGCAUGACUGCCGCCCAUUCCAGUGUGUUUGCAAUUUCUUUACCUGCUCUAUGCUUUAACGUGGAUGAAUUUUAAACGUACAAAAUGAACUUUUCACAGGAAGCCUUGCAGAGACUUAACACAGAAACGACACAAACAAAUCUACUGACAAGCCUGUAACAUCACGAGGCUACUGAAUGGGGUGUGUCCAUGGAUUUCACCCAAUGUGGAUGCUGAAGUUAUAAACGGUGGUCUGAUUUCUCGUUCUCCUGUGUUCUGCAUACACAUAGGGCCAGAGCUGGUGUUCUACAAUCAAAGGAAGAGGCUACCCUAUGGAGGACAAGAACAACAGAUCUGAUGUGGAAUGAGGAGGACUCCAUCUUGGAUUGAAGACCAAUGUGGGUGGUCUGGCCUCCAGCCCAUAGUACAUAAUCUUCUACACUGUGAGAAGAGCUACAGGAAAUACUGGAUGCAGACCAGAAUUAUCUUGUGAAUUACCAUGCGUGUGUUAAUGUAGAUAGAUUUGCAGUGAGAAUACUUCUUGAGAACGCUCACAAGUGAUUCCUUUAUGCUCGCUAAAAACAUUAUAAUGUUGCAUUAUAUUGUAUUCCAUUACAUCAUACGUCAUGUGUAAUUGUUUAUUGAUGUGUAUUGCUAACUUACAUGUCUAAUAAUUCCUUUUGAACUAUAUUUCAUUCAUGUCUAAUAAAAGCAUACAGGAGUGCAGGAGUCCCUCUUUUCAAUCGUAUCUGCAAUGACACGGGUGGUGCCGUCUCUGUCAAUACAUUGUGUAUGCGAUCAAAACAU